UAUCCUAACCGUGCGAAGGUAGCGUAAUCACUUGUUCUUUAAAUGGGGACUAGUAUGAAUGGCACCACGAGGGUUAUACUGUCUCCCUUUUCCGAUCAGUGAAACUAAUCUCCUCGUGAAGAAGCGGGGAUAAAACUAUAAGACGAGAAGACCCUAUGGAGCUUUAAAUUCCUAUUCAAAGCAUAAUGAAAUAGAAUUUUAGGUUGGGGUGACCGCGGAGCACAAAACAACCUCCACAUUGAACUAGGUCUAUCACCUUGAGCAAUGAACUACAAUCCUAUGCACAAAAAAAUUUACAUUCAUUGACCCAAUUUUUUUGAUCAACGAACCAAGUUACCCUAGGGAUAACAGCGCAAUCCUCUUCAAGAGCUCCUAUCGCCAAGAGGGUUUACGACCUCGAUGUUGGAUCAGGGUAUCCCAGUGGCGCAGCCGCUACUAAUGGUUCGUUUGUUCAACGAUUAAAACCCUACGUGAUCU
rnacentral:rRNA from 1 species